UCUCACUGGCCCCCCAGCUCUGUCGGCCCGGAAACCCGGGCCGACAGGGCGCCCCCCAGUCCGCGGCAGUGCCGCGGACUGGGAGGGCAUUUGC
rnacentral:misc_RNA from 1 species